rnacentral:rRNA from 1 species
UACGAAGGGGGCUAGCGUUGCUCGGAAUCACUGGGCGUAAAGCGCACGUAGGCGGCUUGUUAAGUCAGGGGUGAAAUCCUGGAGCUCAACUCCAGAACUGCCUUUGAUACUGGCAAGCUUGGAGUCCGGGAGAGGUGAGUGGAACGUGCGAGUGUAGAGGUGAAAUUCGUAGAUAUCUGGAGGAACACCGGUGGCGAAGGCGGCAUCCUGGACCGGCAUUGACGCUGAGGCGCGAAAGCCAGGGGAGCAAACGGG